rnacentral:lncRNA from 1 species
GGGCGGGGAUGGGUUGCACACCCAUGUGCCCUUGUGUGCUGUUAUCAAUACCUGGGAUCCCCGCGAUCCUUGGCUGCAGGCGAAGAAGAUCCUCCCAGGACCCUCGUCCCCCGUGGGCCUCCAGAGGGAGAGGAUGGACCAGUGGCACCUACUGAAGAUGUGGGGCUUUACUCCACCCCGGUCAGUGGCCCAAAAGGAGGCUCUGGCUCAGCGUCCGAAGAUCGCCCAGCUGUGGGAGGUGGGAGCCGCUCUGUGGGAGCAGGUAAGGGCACAGCGUGGACCUGCGUGGAAACGGUCACAGACUGUGGCUUUCCUCGCUAAAGGUGGUUGCAGCAGCGAGGCACUUGUGUGUGUGUGUGUGUGUGUGUGUGUGUGUGUGUGUGUGUGUGUGUGUGUGUGUGUGUGUGUGUGUGUGUGUGUGUGUGUGUGUGUGUGUGUGUGUGUGUGUGUCUGGCUCUCCCUCCCGUCCUGGCUUCCGUCUCCCUCCCUAACCCUUCUACUUUGUUCCUAGGCCCUGCUGAGACGCAGGUCGGGUCCUCCGUGCACACAG